rnacentral:rRNA from 1 species
GCUGGCGGCGGGUGAGUAAUGCAUAGGAAUUUGCCUCGAGGUGGGGGAUAGCCCGGAGAAAUCCGGAUUAAUACCGCGUAACCUUUACGAAGCAAAGUGGGCCUCUUCUUGAAAGCUCACGCCUGGAGAUAAGCCUAUGUCGGAUUAGCUUGUUGGUAGGGUAACGGCCUACCAAGGCGACGAUCCGUAGCUGGUCUGAGAGGAUGAUCAGCCACACUGGAACUGAGACACGGUCCAGACUCCUACGGGAGGCAGCAGUGGGGAAUAUUGCACAAUGGGCGCAAGCCUGAUGCAGCAAUGCCGCGUGUGUGAAGAAGGCCUGCGGGUUGUAAAGCACUUUUAUCGGGAAAGAAAAAUUCAAGGUUAAUACCCUUGGACUUGACGGUACCUGAAGAAUAAGCACCGGCUAACUCAGUGCCAGCAGCCGCGGUAAUACUGAGGGUGCAAGCGUUAAUCGGAAUUACUGGGCGUAAAGCGAGUGUAGGCGGCUGCGUAAGUCGGAUGUGAAAGCCCUGGGCUUAACCUGGGAAUGGCAUUCGAUACUGCGCGGCUAGAGUCUGAUAGAGGGAAGUGGAAUUCCAGGUGUAGCGGUGAAAUGCGUAGAUAUCUGGAGGAACAUCAGUGGCGAAGGCGGCUUCCUGGAUCAAGACUGACGCUCAGGCUCGAAAGCGUGGGUAGCAAACAGGAUUAGAUACCCUGGUAGUCCACGCCCUA